rnacentral:lncRNA from 1 species
CUUGAUUCAGGGGUAUUGAUUCAUGGGUAUUAAUCACGUUGGGUAAAUAACCGGUACUUUUCGGGUUAGAUGACCGUGGUAUGAGAACCUUGCUUUCAUCUGCCCUGAGAAACAGUCAAAAUUGUAAUCCAUGUACUGCAUCGUCUAUACUGGUACCUGGGCGAAGUACUAAAAGUGUAAAAGCAUGCUCUGAUAGUUCAAUACACAUUCUAAUGGAGUGCAUUAGAUUCCCUCUAAUGGAAAUGGAAAUCUCAUCAACAUGAUAGCAGCAACAAAGAGAGACGACGAUGAGAAUAAUGAUGAAAUUAACAUUGCCGCAUUUCAUCAAAAAGGUAGAUUGCAGAAAAACUAUACCUUCAUCUUAUCCUAUCUCCAGGAGGAUGGCUCGUUCUCUCUCCUCCUCAUCUGCAACAACAAAAUUGUAUAAUAGAUUGUACGCCUCUUUUUUCUGUACUCUCAUUCAGCUCUUCCUUUCCUGCAGUCGCCUCUCCAAAGCAAUUGAAGCCUUCACGACCAUGAGAAACCACGGCAUGGUUCCCGAAUUAUGCUCCUGGAAUUGCCUUCUUCGCGAGUUCAAUGCUUCUGGCUUGGUUUCUCAGGUUUGGGUUGUUUAUACGGAGAUGCUCUCUUGUGGGAUUGUUCCUAAUUUUGUUACUCAUAAUGUUGUAAUUCACUCUUUAUGUAAAACUGGUAGGAUUGAUUUAGCUUUAUAUUUGCUCAGAGAUGAUGAUAAUAAUGGUAGUGGUGCUGAUACUGUUAGUUAUAAUACUGUCUUAUGAGGUUUUUGCAGAGUUGGGUUUGUUGAACAGGGUUUUGGGUUGUGUUCUAAAAUGGUUAAAAAGGGAAUUCCUUUUGAUUCUUUUACUUGUG